AACGCUAGCUACAGGCUUAACACAUGCAAGCCGCGGGGCAGCAUGGGCUUAGCUUGCUAAGCCCGAUGGCGACCGGCGCACUGGUGAGUAACACGUAUCCGACUUGCCCUUUACAAGGGGAUAGUCCUGCGAAAGCGGGUUUAAUACCCUAUGUGGCCUUGAUGUUGCAUGAUAUUGAGGUUAAAGGAGCAAUCCGGUAAAGGAUGGGGAUGCGUUCAUUAGGUAGUAGGCGGGGUAACGGCCCACCUAGCCUGCGAUGGAUAGGGGUUCUGAGAGGAAGGUCCCCCACAUUGGAACUGAGACACGGUCCAAACUCCUACGGGAGGCAGCAGUGAGGAAUAUUGGUCAAUGGAUGAGAGUCUGAACCAGCCAAGUAGCGUGAAGGAUUACAGCCCUAUGGGUUUUAAACUUCUUUUAUAUGAGAGUAACAUGCGCCACGUGUGGUGUAUUGCAAGUAUCAUAAGAAAAAGGAUCGGCUAACUCCGUGCCAGCAGCCGCGGUAAUACGGAGGAUCCGAGCGUUAUCCGGAUUUAUUGGGUUUAAAGGGUGCGUAGGCCGGCUGGUAAGUCAGCGGUGAAACGUCGUUGCUCAACAAUGACCGUGCCGUUGAAACUGUCAGUCUUGAGUGCAUCCAGUGCAUGCGGAAUUCGUGGUGUAGCGGUGAAAUGCUUAGAUAUCACGAAGAACUCCGAUUG
rnacentral:rRNA from 1 species